AUUGGACGCUGGCGGCAGGCCUAACACAUGCAAGUCGAGCGGAUGAAGGGAGCUUGCUCCUGGAUUCAGCGGCGGACGGGUGAGUAAUGCCUAGGAAUCUGCCUGGUAGUGGGGGAUAACGUCCGGAAACGGGCGCUAAUACCGCAUACGUCCUGAGGGAGAAAGUGGGGGAUCUUCGGACCUCACGCUAUCAGAUGAGCCUAGGUCGGAUUAGCUAGUUGGUGGGGUAAAGGCCUACCAAGGCGACGAUCCGUAACUGGUCUGAGAGGAUGAUCAGUCACACUGGAACUGAGACACGGUCCAGACUCCUACGGGAGGCAGCAGUGGGGAAUAUUGGACAAUGGGCGAAAGCCUGAUCCAGCCAUGCCGCGUGUGUGAAGAAGGUCUUCGGAUUGUAAAGCACUUUAAGUUGGGAGGAAGGGCAGUAAGUUAUUACCUUGCUGUUUUGACGUUACCAACAGAAUAAGCACCGGCUAACUUCGUG
rnacentral:rRNA from 1 species